rnacentral:rRNA from 1 species
AGUGAAAGAGAACCUGAAACCCUGUGUUUACAAGCAGACAAAGCACGUUAAGGUGCGAUGUCGUACUUUUUGUAGAACGGUCCGGCGAGUUAUUUUAUAUGGCAAGGUUAAGUACUAUUAAGGUACGAAGCCGAAGCGAGAGCGAGUCUGAAAAGGGCGAGUAAGUCAUAUGAAAUAGACCCGAAACCGAGUGACCUAUCCAUGGUCAGGAUGAAGCUUGAGUAAAAUCAAGUGGAGGUCCGAACCCAUAAGCGUUAAAAAGCUUCGGGAUGAACUGUGGAUAGCGGAGAAAUUCCAAUCGAACUCGGAGAUAGCUGGUUCUCCUCGAAAUAGUUUUAGGACUAGCCUUGUUUAGUAGUAUGUGGGGGUAGAGCACUGAAUGAGCUAGGGGCCAAACCAGGUUACUGAACUCUAUCAAACUCCGAAUACCAUGUACGUAAGAACAGGAGUCAGACUGCGGGAGCUAAGUUCCGUGGUCAAAAGGGAAAGAGCCCAGAUCGUCAAUUAAGGUCCCAAAGAUAUAGUUAAGUGGAAAACGAUGUGAUUUUGCGUAAACAACCAGGAUGUUGGCUUAGAAGCAGCCAUUCAUUUAAAGAGUGCGUAAUAGCUCACUGGUCGAGUGGAGUUGCGCGGAAAAUUACCGGGGCUAAACUAUACACCGAAAUUGCGGAUUCAUGAGUAAUCAUGAGUGGUAGAGGAGCAUUCUAUAGUAGGACGAAGGUAGAUCGAAAGGACUGCUGGACGAGAUAGAAGAGAGAAUGCCGGAAUAAGUAGCGAAAGCAUGGUGAGAAUCCAUGCCAUCGAAAGUCUAAGGUUUCCUGGGGAAGGUUCGUCCGCCCAGGGUAAGUCGGGACCUAAGGAGAGGCCGAAAGGCGUAUCUGAUGGACAGCAGGUAGAGAUUCCUGCACCACCGAUAUACUUAAAAAAUGCAAGGGACACAGUAGUGGAAGGAAAGCGAGGAAGAGGAAAGACUCGUAUCGAAAGAUAUAGUGAAAAAAUAAGUAAUGAAUUUCCAAGAAGCACACUGGCGAGAAAAGCUUGUAGGAAUUGUAUAAAGGUGCCCGUACCGCAAACCGACACAGGUAGAUGAGGAGAGGAUCCUAAGAUGAGCGAGAGAAGCAUUGUUAAGGAACUCGGCAAAUUGACCCCGUAACUUAGGGAGAAGGGGUGCCAAAGUAAAAUUUGGUCGCAGAGAAGAGGCCCAAGCAACUGUUUAACAAAAACACAGGUUUCUGCUAAAUCGAAAGAUGAAGUAUAGGAGCUGACGCCUGCCCAGUGCUGGAAGGUUAAGGGGAAGAGUUAGAUGUAAGUCGAAGCUUAGAACCAAAGCCCCAGUGAACGGCGGCCGUAACUAUAACGGUCCUAAGGUAGCGAAAUUCCUUGUCAGGUAAGUUCUGACCCGCACGAAAGGCGUAAUGAUUUGGGCGCUGUCUCGACAAUGUACUCGGCGAAAUUGUAGUACUAGUGAAGAUGCUAGUUACCUGCGACAAGACAGAAAGACCCCAUGGAGCUUUACUGUAGCUUGAUACUGGGUUUCGAUAAUUUAUGUACAGGAUAGGUGGGAGGCGAAGAAGCAAUUGCGCCAGCAGUUGUGGAGUCAUCCUUGGGAUACCACCCUUAAGUUAUUGAAAUUCUAACCUGUAGUCCUGAGCGGGCUAGGGGACAAUGUCAGGCGGGCAGUUUGACUGGGGCGGUCGCCUCCAAAAGAGUAACGGAGGCGCGCAAAGGUUUCCUCAGCGCGGACAGAAAUCGCGCGAAAGAGUGCAAAGGCAGAAGGAAGCUUAACUGAGAGACUGACAAGUCGACCAGAUACGAAAGUAGGUCUUAGUGAUCCGGCGGUAGUGAGUGGAAAUGCCGUCGCUCAACGGACAAAAGUUACCCUGGGGAUAACAGGCUUAUCUCCCCCAAGA